CGUAGUAUUAUUAGCAUGAGAGCCCACUAAGGGUGGGCAGGAUUGGUGGUGGAUGGGUCAAACAAACACAAGACUUUCAACCAGGAGACCGCUGUUUGCAUCAUGUGGUAAAC